rnacentral:misc_RNA from 1 species
GUAUAAGAUGCGUUUUAUAGCAUUGAUACCAUUCUAAAGACAUACGAAGAGUUUGUGAGAAGACGCGGCUCGGAAGGGGUCAAAAGAACCCGACCGACCCACGCGAGUGUGCACAGGUGUGAGAUGGAUAUGAACAAGGCGAGCACAUGCCCCGAGAGGCCAGCUUCAACCUUGCACGAUAUUCGUUAAUGAUCCUUCCGCAGGUUCACCUACGGAAA